rnacentral:rRNA from 1 species
GACGUAGGGCGCGAGCGUUGUCCGGAUUUAUUGGGCGUAAAGAGCUCGUAGGCGGUUUGAUAAGUCGGGUGUGAAAUCUCCAGGCUCAACCUGGAGCUGCCACUCGAUACUGUCAUGACUUGAAUUCGGUAGGGGACCACGGAAUUCCUGGUGUAGCGGUGAAAUGCGCAGAUAUCGUGAGGAACACCAGAGGCGAAGGCGGUUACCUGGACAGUUACUGACGCUCAGGCACGAAAGCAUGGGGAGCAAAAGGG